rnacentral:rRNA from 1 species
UGGGGGAUAUUGCACAAUGGGCGAAAGCCUGAUGCAGCGACGCCGCGUGGGGGAUGAAGGCCUUCGGGUUGUAAACUUCUUUUGCUCUGAACAAGGCGCACCAUGGGGUGUGUUGAGUGUAGGGGUUGAUUAGCGCCGGCUAACUACGUGCCAGCAGCCGCGGUAAUACGUAGGGCGCGAGCGUUGUCCGGAAUUAUUGGGCGUAAAGGGCUUGUAGGUGGCUGGUUGCGUCUGUCGUGAAAGCUCAUGGCUUAACUGUGGGUUUGCGGUGGGUACGGGCUGGCUUGAGUGCCGCAGGGGUAGCUGGAAUUCGUGGUGUUGCUGUGGAAUGCGCAGAUAUCAGGGGGAAGACCGGUGGCGAAGGCGGGUCUCUUGGCUGUUCCUGACACUGAGGAGCGAGAGCAUGGGGAGCGAACAGG